CCUCCUGGCAGCUGCUGGCAGAAAAAUAAAACCAUGGAGAAGGCGCUUGGAGUCCUUUUUAAAUUUUUUUUUCUUGUGGCUUGGUUCUGCUGCCUGCAUUGGAGGGACAAUGACAUCCCCCUAGGACCAAGGGCUCAUGCUGAGAGGGGCUGAGCUUCUUUGAGGCUUGAAAAAGGCUGAAGUGGUUCAAAACCCCUUUUCAUCUUUGUUUUUCUUCUCCUCACUGAGCUGCUCAUGCUCGGCCCCCCCAGGUGUGCAGUGUUAUAAAUAAGGUAGGUGAGGGUGGGCUGGGAGAGCUGAGCUGCAGAGGCAGCUGGGGUGGGCUGGGGAAAGCCUCCCCUGCCCCAGGACAUGCUGAGCAUCUGCAGCGCUUGGGUGGUAGGAAAUCUCUACUUCCCUUUAUCUGCCUGGAGAAAGGAAGUCACAGGAGACACAAGUGGGCAAGGUGUGGAGGAAGGGACCACUUUGUGCUCUGUGGCCACAGCGACCCAUGGCAGAAACCCUGGGCUGGACUGACAGUGGCAAAGAAGUGGGGUAGAGAGCUGGUAACACUUCUGCUGCUCCAGAGGGGCUCAGUGCCUACCCAAGCACACGUCACCCACAUGGGACAGCAGAGUGGCAUCCCAGGGUGGCACAGGCACCUGAGAGAGCAGAGCUCUGCAGUCCUCCUCAGGAGCAGGAGGGAAGCUGACAACUCACUCAGCCACCUGAGUCCCACCACAAUUUCUGUUUCUGGACCUUCGCCCCAAAGCCCACCUGUGGUGGAAUGAAGAUGGAUGUGAGCUCCAGAUCAGAGCAGGUGAGGAGGGAGCAGGGUACCUUAAUGAGUCAGGGCAGUGACAGCCAGUGCCUGGCACCCAGGGCUUUAGUUUGCCUUUCUCCUGAGAUCUUAUCACCUGCCAGCAGGAAUGUGUGAAAUGAGCCAAACAAAGCACAUGUGGAAAUAGUGUCUCGAGUGAGGAAUGGAAACUUUGGGGGCAAUGGACUGGGAGAGAAAUGAAAUGAAAAGGGGGGUUUGUGCCUCUCCACCUGAGCUUUGUGGUGUGCUUUCCUCCCAUGCCCAGUCUGUGUGUGAGUGCACUCAGGAUGAUAUCAGAGGGAUGAUAUAUUUGCGAACUUGCUGGCUUGUUCCCAGGUUUGCUGCAGAUCUCGAUGUGAGCUGGACCAGAGGGGCUGGUUGGGAGGAGCACCACCCUGCAGAAAGCCUGUGCUCCCUCCUUCCCCACUGCCAGCCCAUCGUGAGGGGCAUCACCCCCCUGUGCCCAGCCAUGUGGACCACAAACCAGCCUGGCACCAGACAAAAACCACCUGGCUCUCCUCCCCUGCACCUGCUCCCCGAGGUGGGGGCAGAGGGACGGUCACUGAACGUCAAUUCUGCUGGCUCCGUGAAAGGGCUGAGAGCUGUCUGGAGGAAAUAUCCCCUGAAACUGAUGCCAAGCCUGGCUGGAGGGCUGCUCCGCCUGUCUCUGUCUCUGCAGGGAAGCUCCAGCACAGGAUUCAGCUUACACCUGUCCCGUUGCUGAGGAAGAAGAGGACUCCAGAGAUGGGCAGGGCAGGGCUGGGAGCCCGGCAGGCACAGCCUCAGGCUCUGGCUGUGCUGGUGUAAUCUGUGCUGCAGAAUGACCUUGGGCUGAAAACAAUUCCACGCUCGGGCCUCGCACGCUGUUGUUAUCAAGGUCAACCAAAACAGCCCUGGCAGCACGUUUAACUGGGGGA